GGGGCGCGCGCAGUCAGUCAGGAAAAGGGGGUAAAGAAGAUGGCGGAUGUGGAGGAGCAGCUGUCCGAUGAGGAGAAGGUACGUGUAGCAGCAAAAUUCAUCAUCCAUGCUCCUCCAGGAGAAUUCAAUGAAGUGUUUAAUGAUGUUCGGUUACUACUUAACAAUGACAACUUACUCAGGGAAGGCGCUGCUCAUGCUUUUGCACAGUACAACUUAGAUCAGUUCACGCC